AAUUGCCGCCAUGUUCGCGGUGCCUGGAGGCUUUUUGAGCUGAUGGGUGAAACGGGAAACAGGUGCAAGACCUGUGCUGCCCCCGCAACGGUAAGGAAGUGUGGAACCGUCACGCGCGCCACUGGGCUUCGGCCUGGGAAGGCGACGGUUCAAGACUUCCGAGCCCGGAGACCGGCCACGGACAUGACCAUGGAA
rnacentral:ncRNA from 1 species